CUGUGACGGAUUUACCUGGAUUUCCUUACCAUGACAAAUAUGACAGAGCAAACUAAUGCGAUUUCUCCUGACCAUAAAACUGGCCUGCACUGACCAUGCGAACGGGGUGUCGUCUAACGUGACAGCUAAUCUCUCCGAAGACGUUCUGACGGAUGACUCGUGGUGACACUGCCAGCGCUCCCCGUCAUUCCCGCCAGAAGCCACCGCAGACAUUUCUCAGAGUUGCCUCUGAGCCUCAUGGAGGUAGCCAUCACCGCUGGGUGGUGUCAUCACGCGAGGAGCGGGGUGUAUGUCACGUCGCACGGAAACCCUGGGCGACAAACACCUUGGGGACAAUUCGGAAAGGAAACAGAGGC